rnacentral:lncRNA from 1 species
CAAAUAUCUGUCAAAUGUAAAUAAUAUAAAAAUAUUUGUUUAUGUUUUCACAAGGUGAGUUUUACACUCACAAGAAAAGAGAGAGAAAAUCACACAUUAUUGAAAAGUUUUUGUGCAAAAAGGAACUGUUCCAUUUUUCCUUUCUUAUUUAUUUAUUUAUUUAUUUAUAUUAUUAUUAUUUUUUUCUUGGCUACAACAUGCACUAAAUUUAUUCAGUAAUCGUUUUUUUGUAUAAGGAAAAAACAGAUUUCUGAAUAAAUUUUUGUGUAUGUUGCAGCCAAAAAAAAGGUUGCUAUAGAAGAAAAUCUUAUUUUACUGACUUGGAUCAGUUUUUCUUGUUGUUCAGCUUAUUGAAGUUUAAAAUAGAUUUUUUCAAUACAUUUUUAGACUAUGUCAUAUAUACAAAUAAUAAUCCUUUCUUCUACAGGUACAAGGCCUGAAAUGUGAGGUAGGGGACCAGUCAAUUACAUCGACCCCAGUGUUUCACUCGUACUUAAUUUAUCAACCCAGAAAGAUGAAAGGUAAAGUCACCUUUGGUGGAAUUUGAACACAGAAUGUAGCAACAGGGCGAAAUACCACUAAGCAUUUUGUCCAGCAUGCUAAUAAUUUUGCCAGCUUACUUAUAAUAUACUUAUAAUAAUAACAAUGAUAAUAAUGAAUUUAUUGUACACAGUGCUCAGUUGCACUAUAGCUCAUUAGAAAAAGUAGCCAAAAAAGUGCAUGUGCUUUAGGCUACCUUGAAGUGCAUAGAGUAAUGCACAAAAAGACAGGAAAAGUUAACAAUGAAUGAGUCAUUAAAAAAGGGAGGAUUAGAUGUAGUGUUGGAGAAUUUCAAGAAGCAUAGAAGUUUUGAAGUAUGUAGUGUCCCGACAGCUAUUAACUGAUGCAGGUAAUUUAUUCCAUGCUUCAGCACUUCUGAGAAUGAAUAAAAGUCAUGGGUGCUGUGCUGGUUUCUGAUUUUGUAAGGAUGUCCAUGUGAGUUUGACACAUGCCAAGAUUAUUGCUUGAAGUGCAUAGAUGCUAGAUGUUGGAGCUUUAAUGUGUCCAUGCAUUGGGAAGCAAGAUGUUUAGAGUGUGAUAGAUGCGUGUUGGGUAUUCAUCUGGCGUGUUUCUGAACAGAUUGAUAUUCUGAGUAAGAUAAAGUGCGGAUAUACCACAGCCAUAUACUGCUUUAAAUAGCUAGCUGGAAAGCAACUGACAAAGGUCUUACUGAGUGAUGCUAAGACAUUCAUAGGCUUCUUGACAAUUUUAGAAAUAUGGUUUGUCCAAUGUAAAUUGCUGUUGACAAUAAUGCCCAGAUCACGUUCACUAGUUAUCAAGACUGGUGUUGUGGUGGGAGUAUGUGAAAACUGGAUUUUUCCUCCCAAAAUGUAUGGUAGUGCACUUGUCAACAGCCAGCUUGAGUUUUCUUGUCAUUAAUCCAUUGCUGCAUUGUGUCUAAAUCUGAUUACAGGAAAUAUCUAUAGUGUAUAGGAUUUGUUCUUUUUAUCUCAAGGUACAGCUUGAUGUCAUCAGUUUAUUUCAACAUUAUAGCUACCUUAAAACUGACAUCUAUAUCCUUAAUAUACAUAACAAACAACAGAGGUUGAAGAACAGAUUCCUGUGGUACACCAGAUGUCAUCUCAUAUGGUGCAGAACGUUCUCCUAGAAUCAUGACUAACUCUUUUAAACUUAGAAUGAAGGACUUCAACCAGUUAUAAAGGUAAUUUCUCGCAACCAUUUCAAAGAAUUUUGCCGUAAGUCGUUUGUGUGGUGCACAAUUAAAGUCAGUGAUUCAGGUGAUGUCUUCAAAAAACUCAAUAAGUUGACCAUAACAGCUGAAGUUAGAGAUAUAUCCAAAUUCUGAGGAUGCAAUAAGGCUGUGAGAGUUCCAACAAGUUCCAAAGUGUUUCUCUAAUACUGGAAGCCAUCAUUUUGGCAAUGCAGCAAGACUGACUGGACUAGACAGUAAUUGACAGUUGACAUGUGACACCCUUUUUGAAUAGGGGAAUGAUGUUAGCAAUUUUCUACUGCCCUGGAGUAACACAGUCAUUCCAGAAUUGGAAGAAUGAAGGCUGGUGUAGAAGAAAGAGCCUGUCACAUUUGAGAGUCAUCACCAUUAAGACCAGAAGAGGCAUAGUUGUACUUAUUAUUGAGAUGGCAUUGCAACAUUGCAGGUGUAAAUUCCACAGUUGUUAUAGAAAUUGAUGUCAGAGGUGGUGAAGGUGAUACAUUGGGAUUUUCGACAGUAAAAAUGCCAGCAUAGCAUUAGCAAUGAGUUCAGCGCGUUCUUUGGGAUCAUCAGUAAUCCAGCCUGUGUGGGGAUUGCAAAGAGGGCUGUUUUCAUGGAUGCAGCUCUGAUGAUGUCUAAAAGCUGUGUGUUUUGAUGGUAAUUUUGGAGGAUGGUAAAUGACUCAAAUAGAAGUGUUGACUUGCUCAUACAUAUAUCACAGAAAAAUACCUGUUGUAAUUUAUUCAAAUCAUCACAAGAAACUGUUGAAAAGUUUGAAUAAAUGUAGACCAUCACAUCACUCCCAUGAAGAUUAAUUAGUCUUUGUAAAACAAGUUGUAAAUAUAUAUAUAUAUACAUACAUAUAUAUAUAUAUAUAUAUAUAUAUAUAUAUAUAUAUAUAUAUAUAUAUAAACAUAUGAAUGUGUGUGUAUAUAUAUAUAUAUAUAUAUAUAUAUAUAUAUAUAUAUCGGUAUAUAUGUGUGUGUAUAUAUAUAUAUAUAUAUAUAUAUAUAUAUAUAUAUAGGCACAGGCAUGCCUGUGUAAUUAGAAGCUUGCUUACCAACCACAUGGUUCCAAGUUCAGUCCCACUGCAUGGCACCUUGGGCAAGUGUCUUCUAUUAUAGCCUUGGGCCAACCAAAGCCUUGUGAGUGGAUUUGGUAGAUGGAAACUGAAGAAGACCAUAGUAUAUAUGUGUGUGUGUGUGUGUGUUUGUUACCCCCACCAUCGCCUGAUAACUGAUGUUGGUAUGUUUACGUCCCUGUAACUUAGUGGUUCAGCAGAAGAUAUCAAUAGAAUAAGUACUAGGUUUAGUCUUGGUGCCAAUUUGUUCAACUAAAGGCAGUGCUCCAGCACAGCCGCAUUCAAAUGACUGAAACAAAUAAAAGAAUAAAAGAAUAUAUAUAUGUAAGUACACACACUCAUGCACACACACUAAUCAUCAUCAUCAUCAUCAUCGUUUAACGUCCGUUCUACGAUGAUGAUGAUGAUGAUGAUGAUUAGUGUGUGUGUGUGCAUGAGUGUGUGUACUUACAUAUAUAUAUUCUUUUAUUCUUUUAUUUGUUUCAGUCAUUUGAAUGCGGCUGUGCUGGAGCACCGCCUAUAUAGAAGAAUUGGUUUGGGGGUUGAAAAUGCACCUGGCUCUUAAAAGAAGUAAUUUUUAAAAAAUUUAUGAAAAUACCAUAUCACUUUUAACAUUUUAUUUUGUUAGUUUUUUAAAUGGUAAAUAAAAAAUGAAAAUUAAAAAGAACAAGAUGAUAAUAGUAAGAAGAAAAAAAACAGAAUGCUCGCUCAGGAAAGGGAGGUUCUGCAGAAAUGAAAACAUGUUCAACAAUUAAUCUUCAAUAGGUUUCCUAGCAAAAUUACAUGCUGAAAAUUCAAGUAUUCAGUAAGUUUCACAGCAAUAGGAAAUGAUGGAAGUUUGAAUGCUCAAUGAAUUUUAUAACAAGGAAACCAGAAGGAAAGAUCCAUUAAAAGAUGGUAGUGUUUAGGUAGCUGUUUAUAUUUGUUGUUGAAAUUACAAUGAAAAUAAUUUUAUUUUUGUUUGUGAUAGGAACCUGAUAAAUAAGUCCAAAUGUCAUAAAACAAAUUUAAAAGUAGAUGGCAGAAAUCAUACCAGUAAACGAACAUAAUGGAGUGAAGAAAGAAAAAAAAUUAUCAAAAAUAGUAGAAUGAAAUUAGUAAAUAAGAGAUGAAAGAAAUAAUAAAUAAAUAACAAACAUCAUGGCUACUGAGUGGCAAAAUGUUUGUUUCCUAGCUGCAUAGUUUCAGGCACAGUCCUACUACAUGGCACUUUGGGCAAGUGACUUCGAUGACAGCCCCAAGUUGGCCAAAGGUUUGUGAGUGGAUUUAGGAGACUAAACUAUAAGAAACCUGUCAUGUGUUUAUAUAUGCUUUAAAAUGUAGUUCUAUCGAUGUGCUGGUUAAUCAAUGCUUUUCUCCAUUUUCUAAUUAUUUGCAUUGGUUCCUGAUAAACUUUUGUUUAUCUUGUUGUUACUUUUUUGUGGGAAAUCAUUGUUCGAUUUCCCACAAAAAAGUAAUUGGGAAAAUUGAAUAUUUUCUUCUUUCUAGUGUGUUAUUAAAGGAUAUUAAGUUGCGGUUUAUAUUUUUUAAUGAACAUGCUGUCCUUAUUCAAUCAGAAUUGGGUUGAAAUAUUUCUGGUGAAUUGAUAGAGAGGGAAGAUUUGGUAUUUUGGGUAUAUGUCUGUGGGACAUUUAUCUAGGUGUUUGCUUAUGGGAAUCUUCCUAGUCGUGGGGUCCCAGAUUUGUUGCUUGCAUACUGCCAGUCUAUCCCUCAAGGUCAAACUAGUUUGACUUUUGUAGUUUCCAUCACACCCACCACAUUUGAGGACAUAGAUUAAGUUCUUUAAUGCACAGGUGAAGUGAUUUUUUAAUGGAAAAAGUUUGACCUGACUUAAAUUUAUGUGCUGAGCCCUCUAAGAAGUAGAUGCAAGUCCUGCAGUUAGGGCACUUGCAUUUUUUGACUAGUGGGGUUGUAUUUUUGGUGGGUAAUUUAGCACUGGUAAGUAUCCUAUUUAGGGUUCACAGUUGUCUUUUACUUUUAAUAAUUCUAUGUUUCCAUUGCUUUUUUUACUGACAGGUCGUUCAUAAGGAGGGGUAUGUUUUGAUGGAUGAUAUUGUAUACUUCCAUGUGCUUCGGAUUGUGUGUAGAAGAGCACUAUGAAAAAUUGACAGAAAGCUAGGUGUUUGAGAAUGAUUCUAAGAAUGUACUGGCGAUACCACAUAACCAACAAAGAUGUUUUAAAGAAAUCCAACUCAAGACACUGAGUGAAAUCCUCAUAGAAUGAAGAUCGAAACUAGGAGGUCUUGUACUUCAAUUACCAAAACAAUGCCAGUCUAAAAUAGCUUUCAAAUGGUCACCACCCAAUGAAAAACAGAAAGAGAGAAAACGAUAUCAGAUGAACAGAUGUAGAAAAAACUACAACCAACAGAAACCAGUGCCAUCAACUUGCUACCUAAUGUGCUUGAGAACACAGGAGGAACUGAUACUGAUAUAUAUAUAUAUAUGUGUAUAUAUAUAUAUAUAUAUAUAUAUAUAUAUAUAUAAAGAUAGUUAAUAAGCCAUACAAGUUGUAGUAUAGAAGAAAUAAAAGAAGAUGAAAGUGAACUAAGAAUGUAUAAGAAGACUAAUUAAUAUUGGUUUCAAAUUUUGGUACAAGACCAGUUUUGGGGGGUCUGAGGUAAGUAGAUUACAUCAAUCCUAGGACUCAAAUGGUAUUAUUUUACUGACCCUGAAAGGAUGAAAGGCUAAGUCAACCUUGGCAGAAUUUGGACUCAGAGUGUAGAUACAAAUUGCUGCUCAGUAUUUUGCCUGAUAUGCUAACAAUUCUACCAUCUUGCUGCCCUAAGGCUAAUUAACAUUAACAGUAAUUCUAUUAAUCAAUGUCACCUUUAUAUAAUUUUCAAAAGUGUAAAAUUUGAGAGACAUGGACCUGGGUCGCAAAUGCAUAAUUUGAAAAAUAAUACAGUGUGAGACGCAGCUCCAUAUCCCUCAAAUCUUACACUAUUGAAAAUCACAAAAAUGUGAAACUGGUUAAGUGUAUUGAUAUUAAUAAAUAGAAAUCCUCUUAUACACUCUCAGUGCAUUUUCAACUUCUUUUAUUUCCUUCCUCUCUCUCUCUCUCUGUACACAGCGAUCGUGCUCGAAUAGUGCUUUUUACAUGCCACUGGCACGGGAGCCAAUCUGAGGCCCUGACAAAGAUCACGCUCAGAUGUGUUUUUAAUGUUCUACUGGCACGAGUGCCAAUCAGGUGGUACUGUCAUUGGCAACGUCAGCAAUUUUGAUUUGAUUUAACUUGCCUCAGUAGGUCUUCGCAAGCAAAGUCUAUUGUCCAACAACUGAGGGGUACACAGUGGAUGUGCUUUCAACGUUCACUGGCCUGAUAUUAGAACAUUUAUAGAUAGAAGGUCUUACUGCUGUUUCCAGGAUAUUUAUUAAUUAUAUCCCUUCAUCGGAGAUGGUGUGAGAGGAUGUAUUUAAAUGUAUGUAUAUUCACAUCUGUCUAACUGUUAAAAUUUCUCGAUACAGUGAAACUCAAAUGUAAAUCUCCCAGCUUAACAUCUUAUUGUCCCACCUGAGGAGUCUUCUAUGCAUUGUGAGUUGCAUCUGGUGUUAUUGCAUUUUUCCACACCAACAAGGGAGUGGUGCAUCUUGAAGAUGAAACAAUUCUUGAG